UGUCAUGUAGGAAGGUGGAAGCCUUUCCAGGAUUUUAAACCUUGGCUCUGCUCCCCUCACCCCCAG
rnacentral:miRNA from 1 species